CUCCCUCUAACUCUUGCUCCAGCAGAAGCUCACAACCAAGCACUUGAUCAGAGAACGUUAUUAUCACGAAUGGAGUCGGGUGAAGAAAGACUCAAUCAAAAAUAACCCACGACCCUCUAAGAGACAAAGGAACUCAACGGUCGUGAGCAGCAGUAGCCGAGGAGCGGACAUCGGAGACCUGGGCAAUGCACCUCUAC